rnacentral:rRNA from 1 species
UCGAAACCUGCACAGCAGAACGACCCGCGAACCAGUUUACCAAUUCCCGAGGUGCGGGGCCAGCCCUGUCUUCCUCGGUGUCGGAACGCGCCGCCUCUUCCUCCCCAUUAAUAGGGUGGUGGGACGGUGUGCGACGGCAAGUACCCAAACACCGGCGCGGGUUGCGCCAAGGACUAUGAAAUUCUACCGCGUCUCACGGCCUCGGGAGACCGGGCAGUGAGUGCGCGUCGAAAGAUCUAUAACAAAACGACUCUCGGCAACGGAUAUCUCGGCUCUCGCAUCGAUGAAGAACGUAGCGAAAUGCGAUACUUGGUGUGAAUUGCAGAAUCCCGUGAACCAUCGAGUCUUUGAACGCAAGUUGCGCCCGAAGCCAUCCGGCUGAGGGCACGUCUGCCUGGGCGUCACGCAUCGCGUCGCCCCCUCCCCUUCAACUUAUGUCGAGGGGAGAGGGGCGGAUUAUGGCCCCCCGUGCGCUGUCGUGUGCGGUCGGCCUAAACACGGAGCCCGUGGGCGCGAGUGCCGCGACGUUUGGUGGUUGAUUUUCGAGCAUCGCGUCGCGCGCCGGAGCGUCCCCGGAGAGCUCGGAGGACCCUUAGGUACAGCAGCUGCCUACCCUUGCGACCCC